rnacentral:rRNA from 1 species
GGCAGUCAGAGGCGAUGAAGGACGUGCUAAUCUGCGAUAAGCGUCGGUAAGGUGAUAUGAACCGUUAUAACCGGCGAUUUCCGAAUGGGGAAACCCAGUGUGAUUCGUCACACUAUCAUUAACUGAAUCCAUAGGUUAAUGAGGCGAACCGGGGGAACUGAAACAUCUAAGUACCCCGAGGAAAAGAAAUCAACCGAGAUUCCCCCAGUAGCGGCGAGCGAACGGGGAGCAGCCCAGAGCCUGAAUCAGUGUGUGUGUUAGUGGAAGCGUCUGGAAAGGCGCGCGAUACAGGGUGACAGCCCCGUACACAAAAAUGCACAUACUGUGAGCUCGAUGAGUAGGGCGGGACACGUGGUAUCCUGUCUGAAUAUGGGGGGACCAUCCUCCAAGGCUAAAUACUCCUGACUGACCGAUAGUGAACCAGUACCGUGAGGGAAAGGCGAAAAGAACCCCGGCGAGGGGAGUGAAAAAGAACCUGAAACCGUGUACGUACAAGCAGUGGGAGCACGCUUAGGCGUGUGACUGCGUACCUUUUGUAUAAUGGGUCAGCGACUUAUAUUCUGUAGCAAGGUUAACCGAAUAGGGGAGCCGAAGGGAAACCGAGUCUUAACUGGGCGUUAAGUUGCAGGGUAUAGACCCGAAACCCGGUGAUCUAGCCAUGGGCAGGUUGAAGGUUGGGUAACACUAACUGGAGGACCGAACCGACUAAUGUUGAAAAAUUAGCGGAUGACUUGUGGCUGGGGGUGAAAGGCCAAUCAAACCGGGAGAUAGCUGGUUCUCCCCGAAAGCUAUUUAGGUAGCGCCUCGUGAAUUCAUCUCCGGGGGUAGAGCACUGUUUCGGCAAGGGGGUCAUCCCGA